rnacentral:RNase_P_RNA from 1 species
CCAGACGGCUGGAUGACCGCGCGGCCCGGGGGGACACCGCCGGGCCGGGAGGAAAGUCCGGGCUCCACGGAAACACGGUGCCGGGCAACGCCCGGCGGGGGCAACCCCAGGGACAGUGCAACAGAAAGCAAACCGCCUGCCGAAGCCCUGGCGCAAGCCACGGGCGAAGGUGGGUAAGGGUGAAAGGGUGCGGUAAGAGCGCACCGCGCCCCCGGCAACGGGGGUGGCACGGCAAACCCCACCGGGAGCAAGACCGAAUAGGGACGACAGGCCGGCCUUAAAAACCGGCCGGGUAGGUUUUCGGGCCGUCGUCCGGGUAGGUCGCGCGAGGCGUCCGGCAACGGGCGUCCCAGAGGAAUGGUCAUCUCCUGCGAAAGCGGGGACAGAACCCGGCUUACAGGCCGUCUGGCACU